rfam:Dipodomys ordii contig_56973, whole genome shotgun sequence.
GGUGGCUAAGUGGUAGAGUGCUUGCCUUGCAUGCAUGAGGCCCUGGGUUCAAUUCCUCAGCACCA